GACGAACGCUGGCGGCGUGCUUAACACAUGCAAGUCACGGGGGCCCGCAAGGGCAACCGGCGAACGGGUGCGUAACACGUGAGCAACCUGCCUAUCUGCGGGGGAUAGCCGGCCCAACGGCCGGGUAAUACCGCAUACGUUCACGAGGGGACAUCCCCUUGUGAGGAAAACUCCGGUGCAGAUAGAGGGGCUCGCGGCCUAUCAGCUAGUUGGUGAGGUAACGGCUCACCAAGGCGACGACGGGAGCUGGUCUGAGAGGAUGGCCAGCCACAUUGGGACUGCGACACGGCCCAGACUCCUACGGGAGGCAGCAGUGGGGAAUAUUGCGCAAUGGACGAAAGUCUGACGCAGCGACGCCGCGUGUGGGAUGAAGCUCUUCGGGUGUAAACCACUGUGCCCGGGAAGAAUCUCCUGAUUCAUCAGGAUUGACGGUACCGGGUGAGGAAGCACCGGCUAACUCUGUGCCAGCAGCAGCCGCCG
rnacentral:rRNA from 1 species